GACGAACGCUGGCGGCGUGCCUAAUACAUGCAAGUAGAACGCACAGUUUAUACCGUAGCUUGCUACACCAUAGACUGUGAGUUGCGAACGGGUGAGUAACGCGUAGCUAACCUGCCUGGUAGCUGGGGAUAACUAUUGGAAACGAUAGCUAAUACCGCAUAAUAUUUAUUAUUGCAUGAUAAUUAAUUGAAAGGUGCAAUUGCACCACUACCAGAUGGACCUUCGUUGUAUUAGCUAGUAGGUGAGGUAACGGCUCACCUAGGCGACGAUACAUAGCCGAACUGAGAGGGUGAUCGGCCACACUGGGAGGGAGACACGGCCCAGACUGCUACGGGAGGGAGCAGUAGGGAAUCGGCGGCAAUGGACGAAAGUCUGACCGAGAAACGCCGAGUGAGUGAAGAAGGAUUUCGGAUCGUAAAGGUCUGUUGUAAGAGAAGAACGGGUGUGAGAGUGGAAAGUUCACACUGUGACGGUAUCUGACCAGAAAGGAACGGCUAACUACGUG
rnacentral:rRNA from 1 species